rnacentral:lncRNA from 1 species
GCAUAGGGUUCCAAUAACUUGGGAGACUGAGAUGGAAGGAUCACUUGGACCCGAAAGUUCAGGACCAUCUGACAGUGUAGUAAGAUCUCCAUUUCAAAAAUAAGUAAAUGAACAAUGUUUCAAAGUUGACAAAGAUGUGCUGCUGCUCUGUGUGUGUGUGUUUGCUUUAUAAUGGCUUUCUAGUAAUUUACCGGCAUUCUUAACUAUUUUUGAGUGCUUACAAAAUUUCAGUGCUUUUAUAGUGCUACUGUAAACUAAAUGUAGCAAUCAAGGUAAGGUGAGUUUCAUUGAGAGUAAGAGCAGUUAGAUUUAGAUGAAAUUUAAAAGUUUUACUGAUUAAAAUGCAAACUAUUUUUAAAACAAGUCUUAUUCCAGUUAAGAUUUUAUUUGAGUAAUAUAUUUCUAUUUACCUUAUAUUAAAAUUACAUACUCUCUGUGAUACCAUAGUAAAAUUGAGAAUUAGGCUUUAAUGUUGUUUAGUUUAGUUUAGUUUUGUUUGAGACAGAGUCUCACUAAGUAGCCUUAGCUGGCCUGUAACUACCUAUGUAGACUAGACUACCUUGAACUCAGAGAUCAUCUGCCUCUGUCUCCCAAGUGCUAAGAUUUUUCAAGAAUAUACAUAAUCAUCUUGCUUUUCAUAAGUAAUUCUGGUAGGGAGAUAUCAGUAGUUAAAAUUUAAUUGAAGACAGUUUAAAUUCUUAUCAUAUCAGGUCUUAAACAUUUUUUGGAAGUCUGAAUGUUUUGUUAGCUAAUCCCUAGUGACUUACUUGGUUUCCGUCGUCCUUCCAAAAUGAUGUGUUAACGUGGCUCUUACUGCUGAAAGCCUUUUGUAUUUUAGAUGAUUCUUUUUUCUAUUCUGCCUUUUACUUUCAAAGACUGUGCCUCAGAGACAUCACCACAAAUGUUCACCACAAAUGUAUCUGCUGCUACUUACAGUCCAUUUCACAGAAGAAAACUUGUGAGGAAGCCAUGUGGCUUUCUGCUAAAUUCUUUUAUAGGCUAAUUAUUCUCUUUCCCAUCGGUUUGCUUUUGUAUAGUUGGAAGGGGGGAAAAGCAAAAAAAAAAAAAUCAGAUUUCUGGAUAGCCAUUUUCUAUCAAAUGUAUUGCUAAAUUAAGUCAAAAUUAACAAACAUAUUUGAUUAAUUUGACAGUUUUUCUGAGACUCAAUUAGAAGCAUUUCAGUUUUAAUAGGGUAACAGUCUCUUGAAUCCAUGAAUAUAUGCAUUGGUUCAGAAGAGUUAGCUGAAAAUUCAAAAUGACUUGUUUAAUAACAAAAGGUACUUAGCUGAGUAUGAUAGGAGACCUGUAAUCUCAACACCCACAGGCUGUGGCAGGAGGAUUGCCUCGCCUGUAGGCUACCCUGGGCUACUGAAUUAAGUGUGUUUAUAUCUAUCUGCCUACCUGCCUGUCUCUCUUGUCUGUCUAUCUAUCUCUGUCUUGUCUGUCUGUCUAGCUAGCUAGCUAUGUGUGUGUCUCUGUCUCUCUCCUCAACAACUUAGAAAUUGUGCUGCUAGUUACUAUUUAAGGACUCGUGUGUUUAUCUUAAAAUGUCCCUUUUUGUUUGUUCCACUGGAAUUGAUUGAAAAAAUAAUAGUAAUAAGCCUUUUUUAUGUUGAAUUAUUGACUUGGAAACUGUGAUUCAUUGAGUAUUUAUAUGCAAAAGAGAGGGUUUCAAAGUUAAACUGGUUUUAGACUUCAUAAGGAUGUAAAUAACUUUAAUUAGCAUUCUGAUAACAAAAUUACUAUUUGGUGCAGUUCAUUCUUUCUGCUCUCCUUUUGAACUUGAGUAUACAAGAUAUAUUUUAUUUUGUCACAUAAAUAUUUUUUAAGAACUUCACUGAAUGUAUAUGAGUUAAUGUUUGAUUUGUUUCUGUAUAGUACGAUCAAAAAUAGUUGAAAAUUUUGCACUUUAUUAGUCUCUUGGAAAUUUAUAUUCUAAUAUUUUUAAAGAGUGUACAUUUAUUUUGUACAUAAUAAAUUAGCUUUGUAUAUGACAAGGGUUUGAAUGAAAUAAAAAGAUGACGCU